rnacentral:misc_RNA from 1 species
AACUUUAAACUAAUUUUUAAUACCCUCUAGCUAACAUAUUUAAGGAGGUGUUUUGCUCAACCGCAACUCCAAGUCUCCAAUAACAACGUCAAACAUAUCCAAAAUUAAACAGGCUCUAUCAACUGAAGCUUUCAGCUUCCACAGGCGGUUUUGGGUUAUUAUUCUAAACACCACAACUUACCAAAUCCUUUAAGUGCAAACCACUAGUCCACAGGAGACCUAUAUCCUACUUCACUGCUAAUCCAUACAUAAAUAUUUAUAAAUUUUAGAAUACCAAAAUUAUGGCUUCAUCUAUGAAACAUGAAAAAAAAAGGGCCAUGGGGAAUGCUUUAUCUAUUUUAGUUGUUUAUUUGUUUGAUUUUGGCAUUGACUAUAAGAUUUGUAUGACCUUUUCAUGGUUCUAGGAAAUGGGUAUUCUACUAAAAGACUUACCUUUUGUUGUUUGAAUUUCUUCUCCCUUCUUUUUCUUAAUUUUUCUAAAACAACCACUGGUUUCGAUAUUUACUCUUAAUGGGUCAUAUGGAAGUUGUACAAAAGAAGUCACAGUAUUUUCCAGUUUUACAACUUAAUUUGAAGAACUAUAAGAUAUCAAUUUGCAUUUUAAAACCUGUAAAAGGGCAUCAUCUAAUUUGACA